ACAAAAGUCACCUGGGGAUCCUGUUAAGCUGCAGAUUCUGAUUCAGUAGCUCUGAGGUGGGCCCUGAGAUUCUGCAUAUCUAACAAGCUCCCAGGUGAUGUCUCU
rnacentral:pre_miRNA from 2 species